rnacentral:rRNA from 1 species
ACGGCUCAGUAACACGUGGAUAACCUGCCCUUGGGACCGGGAUAACCCCGGGAAACUGGGGAUAAUACCGGAUAACGCAUAUCUGCUGGAAUGCUUUACGCGUAAAAUGGAUUUGUCUGCCCAAGGAUGGGUCUGCGGCCUAUCAGGUAGUAGUGGGUGUAAUGUACCUACUAGCCUACGACGGGUACGGGUUGUGAGAGCAAGAGCCCGGAGAUGGAUUCUGAGACAUGAAUCCAGGCCCUACGGGGCGCAGCAGGCGCGAAAACUUUACAAUGCGGGAAACCGUGAUAAGGGGACACCGAGUGCCAGCAUCAUAUGUUGGCUGUCCAGAUGUGUAAAAUACAUCUGUUAGCAAGGGCCGGGCAAGACCGGUGCCAGCCGCCGCGGUAACACCGGCGGCCCGAGUGGUGAUCGUGAUUAUUGGGUCUAAAGGGUCCGUAGCCGGUUUGGUCAGUCCUCCGGGAAAUCUGACGGCUCAACCGUUAGGCUUUCGGUGGAUACUGCCAGACUUGGAACCGGGAGAGGUAAGAGGUACUACAGGGGUAGGAGUGAAAUCUUGUAAUCCCUGUGAGACCACCUGUGGCGAAGGCGUCUUACCAGAACGGGUUCGACGGUGAGGGACGAAAGCUGGGGGCACGAACCGGAUUAGAUACCCGGGUAGUCCCAGCCGUAAACGAUGCUCGCUAGGUGUCAGGCAUGGCGCGACCGUGUCUGGUGCCGCAGGGAAGCCGUGAAGCGAGCCACCUGGGAAGUACGGCCGCAAGGCUGAAACUUAAAGGAAUUGGCGGGGGAG